rnacentral:rRNA from 1 species
GUAGGGGGCAAGCGUUGUCCGGAUUCAUUGGGCGUAAAGAGCGUGUAGGCGGCCAGGUAGGUCGGUUGUGAAAACUGGAGGCUCAACCUUCAGAGGUCGACCGAAACCAUCUGGCUAGAGUCCGGGAGAGGAGAGUGGAAUUCCUGGUGUAGCGGUGAAAUGCGCAGAUAUCAGGAAGAACACCCGUGGCGAAAGCGGCUCUCUGGAACGGUACUGACGCUGAGACGCGAAAGCGUGGGGAGCGAACAGGAUUAGAUACCCUGGUAGUCCACGCCGUAAACGAUGGGCGCUAGGUGUGGGAGGUGUCGACUCCUCCCGUGCCGAAGCUAACGCAUUAAGCGCCCCGCCUGGGGAGUACGGCCGCAAGGCUA